GAGUUUUGAUCAUGGCUCAGGAUGAACGCUAGCUACAGGCUUAACACAUGCAAGUCGAGGGGCAGCAUGGUCUUAGCUUGCUAAGGCUGAUGGCGACCGGCGCACGGGUGAGUAACCACGUAUCCAACCUGCCGUCUACUCUUUGGCCAGCCUUCUGAAAGGAAGAUUAAUCCAGGAUGGGAUCAUGAGUUCACAUGUCCGCAUGAUUAAAGGUAUUUUCCGGUAGACGAUGGGGAUGGCGUUCCAUUAGAUAGUAGGCGGGGUAACGGCCCACCUAGUCAACGAUGGAUAGGGGUUCUGAGAGGAAGGUCCCCCACAUUGGAACUGAGACACGGUCCAAACUCCUACGGGAGGCAGCA
rnacentral:rRNA from 1 species